CGUGAAAAAUGGUUUAAAAAAUAAUUUUUAAGUGAAACACAUCCUUGCUCGAACUUUCCAAUAACCCUUUGCCCCUUAAAAAAUAAUAGUAUUGAAGGCCCAAACAUGUGGGCCUAACUUGGUAGGCCUGUACACCUAAGCUUUUUUUAUUAAGGCUUAGACGUGCAUGCUAGGCCACCUAGGCAUGCACGUCUAAGCCCUUUUUUAUACUUUGUUUUUUUCUUGAUUUAAUUUCACUUUUCAAUGUUGGUUAUUUAUUUAUUUAUUUUGUUUUGCUUUUUAUGAAGUUAAAAUAGUCUCAUAUAAAUGUCAUGCUAUUUUAUUAGGGCUUGGUUUUAUGAAUAUUUAUUUUUGUUGUUGUUUUUGCUAGUUUUCCAACUGCCUUUGGACUUACCAAGUGAAUUAAAUCACAUCGGGUUAAUCCUCGUUUAGUUUAAAUAUUUUUCUAUUAAAAAAUACGUUAGCAACGUCUAUCCAUUUUUUGAACUAAAAAAAAUGAUUUGGCAUGUGCUAUGCUACCGGGACAACAAUCUAAACACCACUGGAGUCUAACAACAAGGUUAAUAUGCUUAUAUAUGCUAUCUCCAACUAAAACUAAAGGGUGUGGGAAAAACACUGUUCCCCCGUACCCAUAAAACAUUAUGGAUUAUAAUAGUAAUCCAAAGUGUUUUGUCGUUUUUUUUUUAAUGUUUUGGCCCUUUUUCUUGUUAUUGAUUUUUUUUAUUUUUAAUUUAGUCCUUAUAUUUUAUGUUUAUUAGGAUUUAAAGUUGAUAAUUUAUUUUAAUUUAGCUUUUAUUUAAUUAUCACAGUAUUGAAAAAUAUCCCAGCAUUAAGCUGGUACUCAAUUUUGUAAGAUAUUAUUUGAAUUCUUUAUUUUUCUAAAUAUUAAGAGUCAAGUAACUAGAAUUGAAGAAUAGGAAAACGUUGAGAUCUGAAAGGGAGAAAUGAAUAAUUUAGUCAUGCAAACUGAGGCAAUGAGAAAGAAAAAAGAGAAAGAGAAAGAAAAGAAAAAUAGGUUGUCGAAGCCAUACAUGAUUUCCUAUUGCCACAUGCACCACCUUAUAGGGAAGAGGACAUCUCAACGAUUUCAACGUCAUCAAAGACACCACCAAUUAAAGCACAAAGGACAACCUAAACGCUGCCUAAAGGUCCCUUCCAUUCUUGUCAGGAGUAGAAUUUAGGUUCCUUCUCCCUUUUUGUAUAAGUUAGGAACUUGGGGAUUUUUCAUGUAAUUUUAUUAUGCAGUAAACAUGUAACCUGAAUAGAAUAAUAUACUCCUUAUAUUAUUUUGUUUUUGGAAUAUUAAUGUAUUAAUCUAUGCUUGGGAAA